CCAAGUGAUCGUUGGAAACGGCCAACACACAUGUAUCACACAUGUUGGUAAGAGCCUUCUACCUACUCCUGAACACAGAUCCAAAAAGCCAGAAAAUAAUUCUAACAAGAGUUGUUGAUCAAGGGUUAUAUCGCAUCACUGUGCUCCAUACUGUCAAAGAUUCCAACCAGUGGCAUCAUCAAUUAGGCCAUCCACAUCAUCAUGUCCUGACUAUGGUUUCCUGUUCUCAAUCACAACUGCAACUACCUUCAGCUAAUGUUAUAUGUCAAGAAUGUUGUCAAAAUAAAAGUCAUAAUCUUCCCUUCCCUCACAGUCAUAGAACUUGUAAACUUUUUGAUAUGAUACAUUCUGACAUAUGGAGACCAUUUCCUCAUCCUUCCUUGGAAGGUUAUAGAUAUUAUGUCACAUUUAUUAA